rnacentral:rRNA from 1 species
UACAGAGGGGGCGAGCGUUGUUCGGAAUUACUGGGCGUAAAGGGCGCGUAGGCGGCCCGCUAAGUCGAACGUGAAAUCCCAGGCUCAACCUGGGAACUGCGUCCGAUACUGGCAGGCUUGAAUCCGGGAGAGGGAUGUGGAAUUCCAGGUGUAGCGGUGAAAUGCGUAGAUAUCUGGAGGAACACCGGUGGCGAAGGCGGCAUCCUGGACCGGUAUUGACGCUGAGGCGCGAAAGCUAGGGGAGCAAACGGG